AGUGAACGCUGGCGGUAGGCCUAACACAUGCAAGUCGAACGGCAGCACAGUAAGAGCUUGCUCUUACGGGUGGCGAGUGGCGGACGGGUGAGGAAUACAUCGGAAUCUACUUUUUCGUGGGGGAUAACGUAGGGAAACUUACGCUAAUACCGCAUACGACCUACGGGUGAAAGCAGGGGAUCUUCGGACCUUGCGCGAUUGAAUGAGCCGAUGUCGGAUUAGCUAGUUGGCGGGGUAAAGGCCCACCAAGGCGACGAUCCGUAGCUGGUCUGAGAGGAUGAUCAGCCACACUGGAACUGAGACACGGUCCAGACUCCUACGGGAGGCAGCAGUGGGGAAUAUUGGACAAUGGGCGCAAGCCUGAUCCAGCCAUGCCGCGUGGGUGAAGAAGGCCUUCGGGUUGUAAAGCCCUUUUGUUGGGGAAGAAAAGCAGCAGGUUAAUACCCCGCUGUUCUGACGGUACCCAAAGAAUAAGCACCGGCUAACUUCGUG
rnacentral:rRNA from 1 species